rnacentral:tRNA from 1 species
CAGAUUUUAGCUUAUAUAAAAGCUUUUUAGUUACAUUAAUAGGAAAAUUUCAAAUGUUUUAUCUGA